GACGAACGCUGGCGGCGUGCCUAAUACAUGCAAGUAGGACGCAGUUGCGAACGGGUGAGUAACGCGUAGGUAACUACCUAUUAGAGGGGGAUAACUAUUGGAAACGAUAGCUAAUACCGCAUACUAGUAGAUGGCCCUGCGUUGUAUUAGCUAGUAGGUAGGGUAAUGGCCUACCUAGGCAACGAUACAUAGCCGACGUGGGAGGGUGAGCGGGCACACUGGGACGGGGAAACGGCCCAGACUCCUACGGGAGGCAGCAGUAGGGAGUCUUCGGCAAUGGGGAGAACCCUGACCGAGCAACGCCGCGGGAGUGAAGAAGGUUGUCGGAUAGUAGAGCUCUGUUGUUAAGGAAGCGGUACUUAACCAGAAAGGGACGGCUAACUACGUGCCAGCAGCCGCGGUAAUUC
rnacentral:rRNA from 1 species